UACGAAGGGUGCAAGCGUUACUCGGAAUCACUGGGCUUAAAGGGCGCGUAGGCGGGCUGCCAAGUUUGGGGUGAAAUCCUCCGGCUCAACCGGGGAAGGGCCUCGAAUACUGGCGGUCUGGAGGGAGGUAGGGGCGUGCGGAACUGUGGGUGGAGUGGUGAAAUGCGUUGAUAUCCACAGGAACUCCGGUGGCGAAGGCGGCACGCUGGACCUUUUCUGACGCUGAGGCGCGAAAGCCAGGGGAGCGAACGGG
rnacentral:rRNA from 1 species